CUAAUUCCAUUUCUUGUCGAAUUCCUAAUUUCAGCUGCAUAUUUUUCCCAUGGCCUUUUUCCAACACCUAUUUACUUGAAGGGUAUUUUUGGAAACUUAACUUCUAUUUCCUCAUUUGAUUGAACUAUAGACACCAUCAUGGGUUGUGGUGCAGUGGUGGGACCACGUCAUCCUUAAUCAGAGGUCUUGGGUUCGAACCCUGGAUAUGGAGAAAAAUUUGUUGGGAGCACUAUCCCCUUAAUGGGCCCUGCAAUGCUCGAUCCGAAUUAGUCGGACUCCAAUGUGGAUACUGAACACCUAGUGGAAACCAAAAAGAAACUAUAGAAACUUUUGAAGUUUUUUUCUCAUCUUGAAUCUUGAAAUCCAUUUGCA
rnacentral:lncRNA from 1 species